rnacentral:tRNA from 1 species
GGUCCCGUAGCUCAGCCGGAUAGAGCGCCCGUUUCCUAAACAGGAGGCCGCAGGUUCGAGUCCUGCCGGGAUCACCA